AAGAGACUGAAGUCUGCUCACUACUAAAGAGGAAAAACAAAGGAAUCGGCUUAUGUAACCUACAAACUGCUGGAGAGAGGAGGAGGAGGAGGAGGAGGGACUGCUGGACAAGGCAGAGAACCAGCGAGAGAUCAGAGCUCUGACCAGCCGCUGAGAGGUCCACCUUGGACUGCGCGCAGGCAACCACCCCACUCGCACCAGCCCCCAGAGAGUAACAUGGCUCGUCUGCCGCUCAAGGAGAGAGAAGGAAUUCUACACACAUGAAGGAAACUGUGGAUUUUAUUUCAUUUCCAGAAGGAGUAGCAUUAAAACAGAUACAGGGACUCGAAUUAUGUACCUGACUCAUUUGAAUAUUCCUGAUGUGAUGAAGCUGGAAUUGAGAAGGAAGUCACAAGAGUACUGUUAGGAAACCUGGAAAGCUGAACUAAGUAUUACGAGCUACUUGGGCAGCAUGCCACACUGACACACCCCCAAAAACAUGUAAGCUCAUGUGACAGUGAAUCACAGCCCGGCAUUCAGCAUGGAUGUCUUCGUUUGGCUCCUCUUUACUGCGCAUUCACUUCAGGCAUCAAGCAUUUGAGAAGAGGUUUGCUGAGGAUGCUGCAUCAGGACAUGAUAUGAAGUUUCUGCAGGCCAGUGAAGACGAGUGAUUUUUGUCCCAUCCAAAGGAUCAGUAACCCAUGCAACACCCUCACACAGAAUGCAGCAUGACCAUUUCUGGAUUUCAAAAUAUCAGUGCUCUGCACUGAAAGCAUCCCCCAACCUUUUUUCCCUGUGAGAGAUCUUGAGACAUUUCAACAAGUCCAAGACAGAUGUAAAAACCACAACAGCUAAAAAGGCACCUGUCACACGGCUCCCAGAAAGUUGGUGUGGUUGACUUUUACAGUUAUCUACCAGUACUUCAGAAGCACAGCAGUUUAGUCAUGGACAAAAAUGAAAGCACGCUUUGUGCUUACCCCAAAAUAGCUUCUGAGGUGCUAUUAAAAGCAUCUCUUAAAAGCUCAGCAGUAGUCUGCAGACAGGUUCAACUUGGCUCCCAGCUAUUCUCAGGGCAAUGAGACUAGCUACCAAGAUACCACACACCUUUGUCCCAAAGUGACCCCCAAUUCUGUCAGACCUUAUAUGUUUUUUUCAUGCAUUUUUCAUGAUUCUUGCGAUAGUUAAAAAUCAGUAACAAGUGAUUUUAUUCAGAAGGCUGGAUGGAUAUAAACAAUAGCUUGAAUAAAAAAAUCCAAAGCACACAACUUGCUAAAUACUGUAGCUUUGGACAGACACUUCUAUAACAAUGGAUUGAAGAAAAAAAAAAAAAAAAAAAAGUCUGAAAAUUCAUUUGGGUGCAGACACACAAAAGAAAGAACACCUUUGGAACUGCAGGUACACAGGAAUGUACACUUGUCUAGUUCAAAACUUGGGAGAAAGCUGCACUGCCUCAGGCAGGCUAAACGGAAGGUGACCGUCACCUUCCUACCUGCACCUUCUUGUACCGCAGCAAUGACUAUCCUCUACUUUCUUUUUGAGCGCUGUGCAAGAGCUCAAGCAAGGCUUGCCACUGGUGCUUCAUGGUUUCUUUUGAUCAUAACUGAGGACACAAUUAGGGCUUCCUGCCUCUCAUCACCAUGGGUGGAUAGUAUAAUCUCAGAGCCAAAACAUGGCAAAGUAAAUGGCUUUAAAAGUCAGGCAGCCAACGACCAAGAGCUACAAACAAGGAAAACCACCACAUGGGUGUUCAGUUUACCCUCUCUGCCAAGGAAAGAGAGAUGAAGCCCAAAAGGAUGCAAUGAAUGUUAAUGCUGCAUUUUAGUUUAGUGUUUCUACGACCAAGACAAGCAAACCCCACUCCCACCAUUCCCCUUGCAGCUAGUAUCACAUUCCUCCCUUACAAAAAUGUCCAGCCCAUGGUAAGCCAAUGCAACCUAGCAGGCAAAGCAAAUUUUUGUUCCAGUUGAGCAAGCUGAAUCAGUGUUUUGUACAAUGUGACAAGCUCCGGGAGGUACAUGGUGGUCAUAGCACAGCCAGAGGGAAGGAACACGAUGGCCCUUCCCAGUGCCAGGCUGUCAUGUAAACUCGGCUCUGAAAUCUCAUCAAGGGACAGCAACAGGGGAUCAGCCCAAGGCCUGUAGAUGUUAACGAUGACUGAAUGCAGUAGCUGUGAAGCAUUGACAAGGACACUUGACUGGGUACCGAAAGGAUGAAAUUCACGUGUCGUUGCCUGAGAUCCUCACGAGAGACAAAGAGAGAAAGAGUCUGCGUGCAACCCAAGAGCUCCCUUAUGCCAAGGGCUGGUUGCUGGAAAAGGAACUCCUCUCCUUGCACUGGGUCUUGUCUGGCACCACAGCAAGCCUGUUCACCCCAUUAACCUGCCAGAAGUGUAUUCAUUUUCUUUUGGAUUGUUCUGUCAAUUUAGCAGGCUGAGAUGGCCCAUGGGGUCAGAUAAGCAUCACUGUCAACAGAGGAGAAAGUGGGAGAGAACAAAAUCCUUCCAGGAAGCAGACCUAAUUAUUUGCUGUCUUGUUAAGCUGUGUCCUUCAAGCUUUGCCACACAAGCACGUGAAGAAGAAACAAACAGCCAUAUGACAACUCAAGAUCUGCAGGUAUAUAAUGAAUAAAAAGAUGGGGAAAAAACUUUUAGAUUAAGCAAAUGACCUACAGAAACAAGUGACCACCAGGAAAAGGAGAGAGGAGGAAAAGUCCACACAGAAGUGGGAUGGGGCAGGGUGUGUGUGUGUGUUUAGGAAUGAGUAUUCAGUACUGCUGCAGCAAGGAAAAAUAACAAUAGCACCUUAAGAUAGGUAACUAGCCCCCAGCAAGGUGAGAAACACUAUGGGAGACUCUGGAUCCGCAGCCCAAACAGAAACAAGUUUGUUGAAAGGACACUUUCUGAAAUCAAAAACCUUUUCCAUCACUCCCUCCCCUAGCUCUCCUGGUUCACAUGCAAGGAGAUUUAAGACAAGCAGCCUCAAGGCAGGUGUGAUGCACAACUACCAUGCCAUAAUUAGAAACUAAACAGUAUUUUUCCAUCUUUUUUCCUUUUCUUCCAGCUCAGUUGUAUCAUGUGCCCCAAAGGGAAAACCUGUGGCUGCACAAGGACCCAAAGGACACACAAUAAAACUUCUAAGGGGAAAAGUCUGCCUUUUUGUCCUACAUUAGUACAGCAUUUUUCAUUGUAGCAUCUUGGUGUCUGCAAUUUAGUUCAAGCAUAAAUGUAACACAAGCAACUACAAAACUCUCCAACCAAAAUUAAAUGGUUGCAGUUCUACAAAAUCAAAGAACUACAUUAAAGAUUAUUGAGCACCAGGUCACCGACAUCUAUCCUAUUAGCAUUUAUAAAAGGACUACUUUUGCUAUGGGAACUGUAUGUUUUAUACUAACCAUAUAAAGCUUUUUUUCUGUAGUAUUCCCAUACUUAAAAAAAAAUAAUCCAGGAAUCUAAUCUGUCGUUCACUUUUUAAUUAAUCUUCUCUAGGAAAGAAAGACCAGCAAUUGUUAAAGGACUUUUGGUUUUAGAUGUGGGAAGUGGUUAAAGGCUUUGCCUCUAUCAACCGGGUUUGAUUUGCCAGUUGUCCUGUUUAACAAAAAAGGCUUAAUGGUUCACUAUUUCUUAUACCUCCUUUUUUAUA